rnacentral:rRNA from 1 species
GAUGAACGCUAGCGGCAGGCUUAAUACAUGCAAGUCGAGGGGCAGCGCAGUGUAGCAAUACAUGGGCGGCGACCGGCAAACGGGUGCGGAACACGUACAGAACCUUCCUUCGAGCGGGGAAUAGCCCAGAGAAAUUUGGAUUAAUACCCCAUAGUAUAGUGGAGAGGCAUCUCUUUACUAUUAAAGAUUUAUCACUUGAAGAUGGCUGUGCGGCUGUANAGGUAGUUGGCGGGGUAACGGCCCACCAAGCCUGCGAUCAGUAACUGGUGUGAGAGCACGACCAGUCACACGGGCACUGAGACACGGGCCCACUCCUACGGGAGCAGCAGUAAGGAAUAUUGGUCAAUGGACGAAAGUCUGAACCAGCCAUGCCGCGUGGAGGAU